UUCCAUUUAGUGACUCAAGUCGACACAAGUCUAGUGAAAUCAUCAUUUGUGCUUUUCAUUUGAAUUGUGUCGCUGUGUGUCAACAACUCAAGUCGAUUUUUGCUAACUCUGCUUUUGUAGAGAGUUAUACUCCGUCCAGCGAGAGAAUGACCUCUGGUCGGACAAAAACUCGUCUGUUUCGCGCAGGUCUUCACCCACAGAAGCCGUAUCUACGUAUACGGUAUUGAGUACCUCGCUAUGUUCUCCCCACUUUGCCCGCCUAUGCGCAGACCGAAGUCAUUCUCUCGCUGAACGGAGUAUAAGUGUGUGACAUUCAGUUCUACCAACGUCGAAAAAUAAAUUUACCUAUUUAUUUGAUCGUAUACGCAUAAAUUGUAUUAUAUUGGUAGUAAUAAAUGAGGUUAUAAUUGGUAGUAAUAACAGAAAUUACUCACAUAAAAUAAUUUAUAUAUACCAUGUAAUAUACUACACAUUUCACAAUGAAGAAAACUGGAAAAUUACUUUUGGCCAAGAAUUUGGUUGACUGCAAUUAUAGUACAGGAAGUUCAGUUAUAAAAAACAAAUCUUUUAUAUAACUAUCAGAUUUUAUAAACAUUAUUUUACAAGAAAGAGAUAUAAAUCAACAACAAGAAAGAUGUACAAAUCAACAACAAGAAAGAGGUAUGAAUCAACAACAAGAAAAAACAAAUUUAAUUUCUCAUCGCGAAGAAGAAUUUUUAUGGAAGGAUAGUAAAUUUAUAUGGAAUAAACAAGUUACUUUCGCGCUUUCAUCUGUGUACGAAGCUCGUGACAUUGAAGCUGAUAAUACUAAAAAAAACAAAAAGUUUUGGCAAUUAAUAGCACAAGAUUUAAAAUGGGCUAUGUUUAUCUAAAGUUCCAUUAACAGGUGAUCAGGUUAGAUAGAAAUUUAGUGCAUUAAAAAAAUCGUAUAACAAAAAAAAAGAUCAUAUUCGCACAAGUGGAAAUGCCCCGAAGAUUUUUGAUGAUUACGAAAAAAAGAUUACAAGAAAUUUUAGGUAAUAAAAGCAAUAAUAAUGAAAGCAAUGAAAAUGUUUUUAAUUCAUCAAUAUCAGUAAAUACUUAGAAUAUAACUAGUAUAGAAUAUGUAAAAGAGAAUCAAGUAAUAUUCAAGAAGAUACAGAACUUACUGCAGAAGAUACUAGAACAGAAAUGAGAAUAAUACGGCAGAAAAGAGGCCAUGGAACAGGAUCAAAACCAUGUCAAACAAAAUUAGAAUUAGAGAAGCAGUGGUUGGAACAUCAUCAAUUUAUUCAGAAAAAAUAUGAAGAUAGAAGA